rnacentral:rRNA from 1 species
GAUUAACGCUAUCGGCAGGCAUAAUACAUGCAAGUUGAACGGCAGCACAGGUAGCAAUACUGGGUGGCGAGUGGCGCACGGGUGCGUAACACGUAUGCAACCUACCCUAUACAGGCGAAUAACCUUUAGAAAUGAGGGCUAAUACGCCGUAGUAUUACAGAUGGGCAUCUAUUUGUAAUUAAAGAUUUAUCGGUAUAGGAUGGGCAUGCGUCCCAUUAGUUAGUUGGUAAGGUAACGGCUUACCAAGACGAUGAUGGGUAGGGGAUCUGAGAGGACUUACCCCCACACUGGUACUGAGACACGGACCAGACUCCUACGGGAGGCAGCAGUAAGGAAUAUUGGGCAAUGGCCGCGAGGCUGACCCAGCCAUGCCGCGUGCAGGAAGACGGCCUUAUGGGUUGUAAACUGCUUUUAUACGGGAAUAAUAGAGUGUACGCGUACAUUUAUGCAAGUAUCGUAUGAAUAAGCAUCGGCUAACUCCGUG